AUGCUGCUCAAUAUCCUUCAAUGCAUAGAUCGGUUCCUACAACAAGGACUUAUCCAGCCCAAAAUGUCAAUAGUCCUGAGAUUGGGAACCCUCUCCGGCCUCACAAGAAGUGUCUUCAGCUUUAACAUUGAAGACGUGAGUCUUUCGCCAGCUACUGUAUACAAUCAAAGCUGUGCUUCUCUAAAGAUGAAAACUUAUUUAGUAAUGCCAGCUAUGAGCACUGUGAACAGGUUGGCUUUCCAAAUGACAAUAAAAAUAGAAGCAAAGUCUCUGGAUUCAAAAGCCACCCAAAGUCAAGGGGUCAAGACUCCAUAUAUAUACAUUUUUUUAAAGUCAUAAUAAAAUUCACAUAAAACUUACCAUCUUGACCACUCUUAAAUGUACAGUUCAGUAACACUAAGUACAUUCACAUUGUUGUGAAAUCAAUAUCCAGAACUCUCAUCUUGCAAAACUGAAACCCUAUACCCACUAGAUAAAAACACCUCCAUUUUCCACCCCCAGGGACUCUUCAUAUUUUCAUAAAAUAAAAUACUCACAGAAAAACAAAUCGAAACAAAACAAAACACAAACCGACCAACAAAAACCCAGAAGUUUCUUUGUUUGUUUCUGGGUUUUUUUGAGACAGAGUCUUGCUUCGUCACCCAGGCUGGAGUGCAAUGGUGCCAUCAUAGCGCACUGUAGCCUCAACCGCCUGGACUCAAGCGAUCCUCUCAUCUCAGCAUCCCAAGUAGCUGGGACUACAGGCACAUGCCACCACACCCAGCUAAUUUUUAAACAUUUUUUGUAGAGAUGGGGUCUCACUAUGUUACUCAGGCUGGUCUCAAAUUCCUAGGCUCAAGCUUCCCGAGUAGCUGAGAUUACAGCUGCCCACUACCAUGCCCAGCUAAUUUUUAUAUUUUUAGUAGAGGUGAGGUUUCACUAUGUUGGCCAGGCUGGUCUCGAACUCCUAACCUCAGGUAUUCCACCCACCUCGGCCUCCCAAAGUGCUGAGAUUACAGGCAUGAGCCACCAUGCCCAGCCACAAAAUAUUUUUAAAAAUUAUCUGGGCAUAGUAGUGCACGCCUGUAGUCCCAGCUACUUGGGAGGCUGAGGUGGCAGGAUUGCUUGAGCCCAGGAUUUUGAGGCUGCAGUUAGCUAUGAUCAUGCCACUGCACUCCAGCCUGUGUGACAGAGCAAGACCCAGUCACUAAAAAUACAAAUUAAAAAAUAAAUAAAUAAAAGGGGCCCUGAAGAGGCCCCUCAGCCCUUCUGCCAUAUGAGGAAACCGGGAAAAGAUAGGCGUAAACCAAGCAGCCAGCCCUCACCAGACACCACAUCUGCCGGCGCCACGGUCUCGGAGUUGUCCAGCCUGCAGAAGUGUGAGAAGUAAAUGUUUGUUGCUGAAGGCACCCAAUCUAUAGUCUUUGGUUGUGGUAGCCCAAAUGGACUAAGACAGGAAGCUUACCAAAUGGCAGAGCCAUGUGCCUCCCGAGAUCAGCGAUGCUGAGGAGAAGGCUGAUCUACCCCAGUUCAGGAAGAGGGACUUAGGGCUUUCCUUGGCAAUGUUCUGCUCCUGGGGGGUCCUUGGUACUCAGAUCCGAACUCUGUUCCUCUGCCUAUCAGUGAACGAAAACAUCUCCUGGCUUCUCCAGUUCCAUCAUUUUUUUUUGUUUCCAGCUCUUUCUCUCCUCCCAGUUUUAGCAUAAAGUAGUCCCCUCUUAUCCACGGGGAUAUGUUCCAAGAUCCCCAGAGGAUGCCGGAAACCUCAGAUAGUACCCAUCCCUAUGUAUAUUGUUUUUUCCUACAGACUACAUGCCUAUGAUAAAGUUUAAUUUAUAUAUUAGGCACAGUAAGAAAUUAACAAUAAGUAAUAAUGAAUAGGACAAUUAUAACAAUGUGCCAGCAUCACUACCCUUGCAAGUUGGGGCCAAUGUUAAGUACUAUAAGGGUUUCUUGAACACAAGCACGGUGAUACCAUGACAGUAGCUCUGACAACCAAGAUGGCUAAGUGACUAGCCAGCAGGAAGAGCCUGGAUGCGCUGGACAAAGGGAGGAUUCACGUUGCAGACAGGAUCAAGCUUACAGCAAGAGAUCUCAUCACGCUGCCCAGAAUGGUACACAGCUUAAAACUCAUGGAUUAUUUCUAGAAUUUCCCAUUUAAUAUAUAUUUCUUUUCUUUGAUGUUUUUUAAGACAAGGUCUCACUCCAUUACCCAGGCUGGAGUGCAGUGGUACCAUCAGAGAUCACUGCAGCCUCCACCUCCUGGGCAUAAGCCAUCCUCCCACCUAAGCCUCCCAAGCAGCUGAGACUACGAGUGCGUGCCACCACACCUGGCUAAUUUUUGUAUUUUUUGCAGAGACAAGGUUUUGCCAUGUUACCCAGGCCAGUCUUGAACUCUUGGACUCAAGGGAUCCAUUUACUUCAACUUUCCAAAGUGCUGGAAUUACAGGCAUGAGCCACCAUACUUGGCCCAUUUAAUGUUUUCGAACUGCAGUUGAUCAUGGAUAACUGAAACCUCAGAGGGUGAAACGGUGGAUGAGGGGUAUCUAUGUACAUUAAAUACAUUCCUUCAGGAACAUGCCCAAAGAACUGAUUGUAUGCUAGGCACACAAUGCUGCUGGAAAUAGAAAUAUUUCAACCACUUUUCUCAAGGUGUUUACAGCCUAAUGAGAAAAUAAAUUUAGUUUUUUGUUUGUUUUUGUUUUUGUUUUUUUGAGACAAGUUCUCACUUUGUCUCUGGCCGGAGUGCAGUGGCGCAAUCUCGGCUCACUGCAGCCUCUGCCUCCCAGGUUCAAGCAAUUCUCCUGCCUCAGCCUCUCAAGUAGCUGGGACUACAGGCACCCGCCAACACGCCUGAAUAAUUUUUGUAUUUUUAGUAGAGAUGGGGUUCCGCCAUGUUGGCCAGGCUGGUCACAAACUCCUGACCUCAGGUGAUCCACCCACCUUGGCUUCCCAAAGUGCUGGGAUUACAGGUGUGAGCCACCACGCCUGGCCCAGAAAUAAAUUUCUAAAUGAUGGAAAUUUGGAAAUGAAAUAUAAGUUGUACAAAUGGACAAGUGGCAUAAUAUUAUGUUGUACAAAGGGACUUUCAUUAUUCCUGAUGAAAACACAUGCCGGAGCUUACAUUGGUUCCCUCCAGAAAUCUCAAUAAAAUUAAAAAAAAAAUUUUAUAAAUGCUUAUGGACAAAAGGAAUGGAAGAAAAGAUGAUAUCAGACAAAAGACAUCAAUGAAAUUGUGGAAGAUGUAAAAUGGAGGGGCCCGUGCCACCUGGCAAGUGAGCUGGUUUGUGCUGCAGGACCCAGGAGUGGUCACGGAUCGGAGGCUGAGCAGCAGUGUUGAUGACAGUCUUUAAAAAGAAUAGGGAAGAACCCCAGAUUUCCUUUCCCAGCCCACCCAGCCAAGCAACGACACCACCUCCACCACUACACGAAGUUUAUUAACUCCAAAGGAAGACUUUGGAGUCUCAAUAUCAGAACGUAGCUAGACACCAGAUAUUGUUCCAAAAAUGGGAAUUUUGUGAAUAUUUGGGUACUGAGAUGCUAUUCCCAGAUCCUUCCCCUGCAGGGCUUUUACCUUCCACAGGCAGGAGAAAGGAGGAAAACUCUCUGGGAAAACCGAUCCACUCAAGGUGGAAAAAAAAUCUACAGAUCUAACAUCUGAGGACCUGACCUAAUGACUUUCCAUGACGCUCACCAGAAGAAUAGCUUCGAACAUGCACAUGGAGCUCCCGUGGCUCCCAUGAAUAGACAGCCAAAGACUACUAGAGCUUUGAGGGAAGUCCUCCCACAAAAAAAAAAAAAAAAAAAAAAAAAGACCAAAACAUGGCUGGGCGCAGGGGCUCACGCCUGUAAUCCCAGCACUUUGGGAUGCCAAGGCAGGUGGAUCACCAGAGGUCAGGAGUUCAAGAUCAGCCUGGCCAAUAUGGUGAAACCCCAUCUCUACUAAAACUACAAAACUUAGCCGGACUUGAUGGCAGACGCCUGUAAUCCCAGUUACUCGGGAGGCUGAGGCAGGAGAAUCACUUGAACCCAGAGGCAGAGGUUACAGUGAGCUGAGAUCGCACCACUGCACUCCAGCCUGGGUGACAGAGCGAGACUCUGCCUAAAAAACAACAACAACAACAACAACAACAACAACAAAAACACCCAUACAAGGUAUAUCACAUGGAAUUUCAGAACACCAAGAAUAAAUGCAAUGCUUCCAAAGAGAGAAAGAAAAAUACAGUUACAAAGCCUAGGACAGAAUCGGUCUUAGUGCUAACAAUACUGGGAAACUGAAGAUGGUAUAAUAAUGUCUUCAAAAGUCUGUGGAAAAAUUUUUGCAAUCUAGACUUUUAUACCCAG
ensembl:lncRNA